rnacentral:scRNA from 1 species
UCCCUUUUCUCCUCAACCGGGCUAGAGGCCAAGAUCAGCCUUCCAGGGUCAUCACCAGGACUGCCACAAGCUAGGAACCCUGUUUUCCUAACUCAGAUAUUU